AGGUGGUUAUAGCACGAGGGUUCCACCUCUUCCCAUUCCGAACAGAGAAGUUAAGCCUCGUCACGCCGAUGGUACUGCGUAACAGUGGGAGAGUAGGUAGCCGCCG
rnacentral:rRNA from 10 species